GAUGAUUUGGGGAAAAUUGUUGAUAUGCCAGAUUUCCAGGAAAGCGAAGAUGCUGAUUGGACCAGGACACAAGAUUUGAUUAAGACUGGAGAUAGAGAAGACGUGGAACUAGUAAGCUGCAAUACCAAAGGGUUCAUUGUUUCUUUUGGUUCAUUGGUAGGAUUUCUGCCAUACCA